rnacentral:piRNA from 2 species
UGGAAGAUGGCAGCUUUUGAAAAAUGGGU